rnacentral:rRNA from 1 species
CCCUUAGAUGUUCUGGGCCGCACGCGUGCUACACUGAGUGGAUCAGCGGGUCAGGUUGCGCGAAAGUGUUUCCUAAUCUUUAAAUCCGCUCGUGAUGGGGAUUGACGGUUGCAAUUUUCCGUCAUGAACGAGGAAUACCUUGUAAGCGCGGGUCAUCAUCCCGCGCUGAAUACGUCCCUGCCCUUUGUACACACCACCCGUCGCUCCUACCGAUUGAGUGGUCCGGUGAGGCUUUGGGAUCUGAGCGGAAAGAGCGUUUCGCUGUUUCUGCCCGGAAAACUCAGUCGAACCUUAUCAUUUAGAGGAAGGAGAAGUCGUAACA